AUUGAACGCUGGCGGCAGGCUUAACACAUGCAAGUCGAGCGGGGGAAGUUGCUUCGGUAAUUGACCUAGCGGCGGACGGGUGAGUAAUACUUAGGAAUCUGCCUAUUAAUGGGGGACAACAUCUCGAAAGGGAUGCUAAUACCGCCUACGCCCUACGGGGGAAAGCAGGGGAUCAGUUGUGACCUUGUGUUAAUAGAGUCGCCUAGGUCGGAUGAGGGAGUUGGUGGGGUAAAGGCCUACCAAGGCGACGAUCUGGAGCGGGUCUGAGAGGAUGGUUGGCCACACGGGGACUGAGACACGGCCGAGACUCCUACGGGAGGCAGCAGUGGGGAAUAUUGGAAAAUGGGCGAAAGCCUGGACCAGCCAGGCCGCGUGUGUGAAGAAGGUCUUCGGAUUGUAAAGCACUUUAAUUUGGGAGGAAGGGCAGUAAGUUAAUACCUUGCUGUUUUGACGUUACCGACGGAAUAAGCACCGGCUAACCCUGUGCCAGCAGCCGCCGUAAAAC
rnacentral:rRNA from 1 species